rnacentral:lncRNA from 1 species
CGGAAAUGAAAUAACUGUAACAUGAUUGAUAACCUUAAGUCCAGGGAAACGAUAUUACUAAUUAAAUCGUGAAACAUUAGGCCGGCUGUCAAGCACAGAUAUAUUUAAAGUCGUAACAGCUCUUGCUUAUUUUUAAAGUGUUUGCAUAUUGAAUGAUUCAGGAAAAAAUUGUUUCUAUUUAUCAGACCAAGUAUAAAGUGCUCAGCUCCAUGGCAUCAGCAACCAUAACAGUCAAUCCGAGUUGUAGGUGUCCAGCGAGGACAAGAAAGAGACCAGGAUAACGCACCACUGCAUAGAACAUUCCAUCAGUGUUUUCUGUGGAUCAACGAAUGAAUGAAUUAAAACAUAAAGAUGCAGAGUGCUGUGUUGGAGAGGAGAGAGGCCACCUGGGCAGACACUGUGAGAGAGGACGAACAUGCUGUAUCUUCAUUGUCUACCUGCACAAGCUGCUCUGCUGCUGCCCACGAGACCUUCCCUGGUCUGUGCAUCCUCCUGAGCAUUGCUGCAGGACUUGGGAAGUGCUGCUAACCUUGCUAAAAACACUUGAAGUGUGACGAGUCCUUUUAAAAAAUCACCUCUGCCGUUGACUACUUUGUGAUACUAGGCAUUAUGUUGUUGAGAUGUUCUUCCUUAAUUAGAGCCCC